AUUGAACGCUGGCGGCAGGCCUAACACAUGCAAGUCGAGCGGAGCGGCGGACGGGUGAGUAAUGCUUAGGUAUCGGCCACGUCGUGGGGGAUGGCGUUCGGUACUGGGCGCUAAUACUGCAUCCUAUCGCCAGCGCAUAGGGGGGAUUAGCUAGAUGGUGGGGUAAGGGCAUACCAAGGCGACGACCCGUAACUGGUCUGAGAGGAUGAUCAGUCACACUGGAACUGAGACACGGUCCAGACUCCUACGGGAGGCAGCAGUGGGGAAUAUUGCACAAUGGGCGAAAGCCUGAUGCAGCCAUGCCGCGUGUAUGAAGAAGGUCUUCGGGUUGUAAAGCACUUUAAGUGGGGAGUCGUUACCAGCAGAAGAAGCACCGGCUAACUCCGUGCCAGCAGCCGCGGUAAUAC
rnacentral:rRNA from 1 species